GCUAAAGAAUGCUAUUAUAGAGGCUGCUGCUUUAAUUCAAGUGUCACUGGGGUUAAAUGGUGUUUUUACCUUAAAAACACAGGAAGUGACAAGAAACAAUGUAAUGUGGAACCGUACAGCAGAAGGGAUUGCGGCUACCCCACAAUAAGUGCAGCGGAAUGUAAGAAGAGGAAUUGUUGCUUUGACUGCAGCAUUCCCGGGGUUAACUGGUGUUUCUUCAAGUCACAAGGUUGAACGGCUUUGGAGUGAUCCACUGUUACAUACCAUCUCUCUGUCAUUUGGAGACGAACGGAGAUCACCGACAGCCCUAAUCCGCCCUAAACCGCCACAGAUAUUUCCAUCUACUACAUCCCAGCCCAAGGAUUACCCAGCUGCGCUGUCGGAGGAGCAUCCAGGCAGCGCAGCACAGAACGGCUUGUGGAUUGGAAACGGCGGAGGUCCGGUGAAUAUCCGGUCGGUCGGACGGCUACAGCAUUCACUGGCACGGGUGAGAUUGCUACAAGUGAGACGGCUUCUGCAUUCACUGGUACGGGUGAGAUUGCUACGAGUGAGACGGGGUCUCAUUUAUUUAUACACUAUCCCGUCAUUUUAGCCACCUACACCUAUGGCCUCACUAGGCUAGGGGCUAUUUGAGCGAUUUGGGACUUUGUUUUAGUAUCUCAUUUUAUAUAUUUUUUUAUAUAUAUUAAUCAUCUUAAAUACGGGACUAUAAUUCUACGGCAUUGGCUGCCCACACUAACGGCUGCUUAAGGAUAGGUGCCUUUAUCGAGACUUUUCAAUAAUAUUGGUUAAAAGGACGGGACUGUUUUCUAUUCAUUUGCUCAAACAUUUAUUAUUCACAUCAGCAGCCGUACGAGGUUAAGAGCUAAUGAGCCAUACGAGACUUUUGGAUACAUAUAUAACGGCUAACCACUACCAGUUUAGAUCGUUAUUGGAAGAACUCUGAGUUUUUAUUUUUUAUUUUUAUUUUAUUUUAUAUGCAAUUUUAUGAUAUCCUACAGGCAAUACAUCUUCCAUUUGUAUAUUUCAUUGAUUUUUGAUACAUUUUUGUGCACAAUUUAUUAAAUAUUAAUUAAGGCUGGCCAGCCAGUGUUUUUCAGGGUUCUAUAUAUUUGUAUCCAUUAUUGGUUUCCUGGAAUACUAAACCAUAUACGAGAAAUUAACUAGAUGGUUAUAUAUUUCAUGAUUGUGUUAUUUUAUUCAUUUUAAUAUUAUUUUCAAUAUCCUAUUGUGGUCACUCUAAG